GGUCUGGUAGUUCAGUUGGUUUAGAAUACCUGCCUGUCACGCAGGGGGUCGCGGGUUCGAGUCCCGUCCAGACCGCAA
rnacentral:tRNA from 1 species